GACAGAGGGUGCAAGCGUUGUCCGGAAUUAUUGGGCGUAAAGAGCGCGUAGGCGGUCCGAUAAGUCGGCUGUGAAAGUCAGGGGCUCAACCCUUGGAAGCCGGCCGAUACUGUCGGACUAGAGUCCGGAAGAGGCAAGUGGAAUUCCCGGUGUAGCGGUGAAAUGCGCAGAUAUCGGGAGGAACACCAAUGGCGAAGGCAGCUUGCUGGGACGGUACUGACGCUGAGGCGCGAAAGCGUGGGGAGCAAACAGG
rnacentral:rRNA from 1 species